rnacentral:rRNA from 1 species
UACGGAAGGCAGCAGUGGGGAAUAUUGCACAAUGGGCGCAAGCCUGAUGCAGCCAUGCCGCGUGUAUGAAGAAGGCCUUCGGGUUGUAAAGUACUUUCAGUCGUGAGGAAGGUGUUAAGGUUAAUAACCUUAGCAAUUGACGUUAGCGACAGAAGAAGCACCGGCUAACUCCGUGCCAGCAGCCGCGGUAAUACGGAGGGUGCGAGCGUUAAUCGGAAUUACUGGGCGUAAAGGGCACGCAGGCGGUUAAUUAAGUUGGAUGUGAAAUCCCCGGGCUUAACCUGGGAAUGGCAUUCAAGACUGGUUAGCUAGAGUCUUGUAGAGGGGGUUAGAAUUCCAUGUGUAGCGGUGAAAUGCGUAGAGAUGUGGAGGAAUACCGGUGGCGAAGGCGGCCCCUGGACAAAGACUGACGCUCAUGUGCGAAAGCGUGGGGAGCA